AAGGUUUUAAGUUAUUUAAACUAAUAAUCUUCAAAAUUAUAAAAAAAGACAUUCUUUAAGCCUUA
rnacentral:tRNA from 1 species